rnacentral:lncRNA from 1 species
GUCUGAGGUCAGAUUUGUACUUGGUCCUCCUGGCUCCAGAUCUGUCUACCUGUCUCCCUAGUUACAUUUUAAUCUGGUUCAAGUGUACUCCAGAGUGCUAUAAUCCCAUGUAUCAACUCAGCACAUAGAGUUUUCUCAUCUGUCAAAUAAGCUGGAGAAGGAAUUGGCAAACCACAACCUUAUUUCUGUCAAGAAAACCCCCCAAAUCCUGCAGAAGUGAAAACAACUAAAGUUCUCACAAAUUGAAGUUCUACUUGGAGCUGAACUUCCUGUGAGAGGCAGUUCUUCAUUCUUUGGAGUUGAGACUGGAGAACCUGAGACCCUGUUCCUGGUGAGGCUGUUCUUAAAUCUCUUCCUUUGGACUGACACAUGGUAAGUGAAAGGGAUGACUCCUUUCCUGGAUUUUAGCCUCAGGAGAGACCUUCCUCUUGAUAAGACUUCCCCAGGUCC